CGGGUGCGUAACACGUGAGCAACCUACCGAUUUGUGGGGGAGUAGCCGGCCCAACGGCCGGGUAAUACCGCAUACGCUCUUUGGGCUUCAUGGCCUAUUGAGGAAACCUCCGGGGCAAAUCGAGGGGCUCGCGGCCUAUCAGCUAGUUGGCGAGGUCAUGGCUCACCAAGGCGACGACGGGUAGCUGGUCUGAGAGGAUGGCCAGCCACAUUGGGACUGAGAAACGGCCCAG
rnacentral:rRNA from 1 species